GAUGAACGCUGGCGGCGUGCUUAACACAUGCAAGUCGAACGGUGAAGGCGGAGCUUGCUCUGCUGGAUCAGUGGCGAACGGGUGAGUAACACGUGAGCAAUCUGCCCCUGACUCUGGGAUAAGCGCUGGAAACGGCGUCUAAUACUGGAUACGAGCUGCGAAGGCAUCUUCAGCAGCUGGAAAGAAUUUCGGUCAGGGAUGAGCUCGCGGCCUAUCAGCUUGUUGGUGAGGUAAUGGCUCACCAAGGCGUCGAGGGGUAGCCGGCCUGAGAGGGUGACCGGCCACGCCGGGACUGGGACGCGGCAGAGAGUCCUACGGGGGGAAGCGGGGGGGAAUAAUGGAGAAAGGGCGAGUGCCUGAUGAAGGACCGCCGCGUGUGGAACGACGGCCUUAGGGUUGAAAACAUCUGUAAGCAGGGAAGAAGCGAAAGUGGGGGCACAUGCAGAAAAAGCGCCGUCAAACUACG
rnacentral:rRNA from 1 species